rnacentral:lncRNA from 10 species
AACAAAGGCAAGUUGUCUUUCUACGGUGCCGCAGCCGUGUGCCUCUUCUGAAGAAUAAGAGCUAUUAUUAUUCUUUAUGUCUUAUCCUUUUUUUUUUUUAAAAAAAAAACCAAGUUUCCUUCUAAGGGAAAUAAACACCAAAGUGAUCCUCCGACUGUGAAAAACCAGACCUCUGGCUGCCUGGCUCCCUAGGAAUCAAGAAGACGCACAGACUGAAAAUCAAGGGAGGAAGGAACAAGAUCAAGGAUGAGGAUUAGCAUCUGCAAAUUGAACUCUAUCUAAUUUGCAUGUUUAUUUCUUAGAAUUGUAAUUAAAUUUGUGUAAUAAAUGUUUUCCAUUUCAUUUGUACACUUAAAACUUGGGUGACUGACAUGCAGUUAAGUGAAUUUCCUUUUUUUAAAAGCAAAUGUAGAUUAUUCAAUAAAGCAGCAAACCAAUAUUAAACAUAAUUAGAACUAA